GCUUGUCUCAAAGAUUAAGCCAUGCAUGUCUAAGUAUAAACAACUUUGUACUGUGAAACUGCGAAUGGCUCAUUAUAUCAGUUAUAGUCUACUCGAUAGUACCUUACUACUUGGAUAACCGUAGUAAUUCUAGAGCUAAUACAUGCGUAAAUACCCAACUGCUUGUCGGACGGGUAGCAUUUAUUAGAUACAAAACCAAUGCGGGGCAACCCGGUUGUUGGUGAUUCAUAAUAACUUUUGCGGAUCGCAUGGCCUUGAGCCGGCGACGAAUCAUUCAAAUUUCUGCCCUAUCAACUUUCGAUGGUACGGUAUUGGCCUACCAUGGUUACCACGGGUAACGGGGAAUUAGGGUUCGGUUCCGGAGAGGGGGCCUGAGAAAUGGCCACCACAUCCAAGGAAGGCAGCAGG
rnacentral:rRNA from 1 species